AGUCUCCCCCUCUUCUGUUCCCCAGUCUAUGUGCAGAACCAACAGAGGCACCGUGGGUGGCUACUUCCUGGCAGGACGAAGCAUGAUCUGGUGGCCGGUUGGAGCCUCCCUCUUCGCCAGCAACAUUGGCAGUGGCCACUUUGUAGGCCUUGCAGGGACUGGCGCAGCAAGUGGCUUGGCUGUGGCUGGAUUUGAGUGGAAC